rnacentral:rRNA from 1 species
UACAGUGGGUGCAAACGUUGCUCGGAAUCAUUGGGCGUAAAGCGCACGUAGGCGGUUCGUUAUGUCGGAUGUGAAAGCCCUUGGCUUAACCGAGGAAGUGCAUCCGAAACUGGCGAGCUAGAGUACGAAAGAGGAUCGCGGAAUUCCCGGUGUAGAGGUGAAAUUCGUAGAUAUCGGGAGGAACACCGGUGGCGAAGGCGGCGAUCUGGGUCGAUACUGACGCUGAGGUGCGAAAGCGUGGGGAGCAAGCGGG